rnacentral:snRNA from 1 species
UUGUCUAAUUUCCGGUGUGGAAU